AUGAACGCUGGCGGCGUGCCUAAUACAUGCAAGUCGAGCGAACGGACGAGAAGCUUGCUUUUCUGAUGUUAGCGGCGGACGGGUGAGUAACACGUGGAUAACCUACCUAUAAGACUGGGAUAACUUCGGGAAACCGGAGCUAAUACCGGAUAAUAUUUUGAACCGCAUGGUUCAAAAGUGAAAGACGGUCUUGCUGUCACUUAUAGAUGGAUCCGCGCUGCAUUAGCUAGUUGGUAAGGUAACGGCUUACCAAGGCAACGAUACAUAGCCGACCUGAGAGGGUGAUCGGCCACACUGGAACUGAGACACGGUCCAGACUCCUACGGGAGGCAGCAGUAGGGAAUCUUCCGCAAAGGGCGAAAGCCUGACGGAGCAACGCCGCGUGAGUGAUGAAGGUCUUCGGAUCGUAAAACUCUGUUAUUAGGGAAGAACAUAUGUGUAAGUAACUGUGCACAUCUUGACGGUACCUAAUCAGAAAGCCACGGCUAACUACGUG
rnacentral:rRNA from 1 species